rnacentral:rRNA from 1 species
CGCGCAGGCUGUGCUGCAAGUCAGCUGUGAAAUGUCUGGGCUUAACCCGGGCAUGCGGUUGAGACUGCAGUGCUGGAGUGCUGUAGAGGCAAGUGGAAUUCCCAGUGUAGCGGUGAAAUGCGUAGAUAUUGGGAAGAACACCGGUGGCGAAGGCGACUUGCUGGGCAGCAAACUGACGCUGAGGCGCGAAAAGCCAGGGGGAGCAAAACG